GACGAACGCUGGCGGCGUGCUUAACACAUGCAAGUCGAACGGAAAGGCCCCUUUGGGGGUACUCGAGUGGCGAACGGGUGAGUAACACGUGAGUAACCUGCCCUUGACUUCGGGAUAACUUCAGGAAACUGGGGCUAAUACCGGAUAGGAAUCCUUGCUGCAUGGUGGGGGUUGGAAAGCUUCGGCGGUUUUGGAUGGACUCGCGGCUUAUCAGCUUGUUGGUGGGGUAGUGGCUUACCAAGGCUUUGACGGGUAGCCGGCCUGAGAGGGCGACCGGCCACAUUGGGACUGGGAUACGGCCCAGACUCCUACGGGGGGCAGCAGGGGGGAAUAUUGCACAAUGGGCGGAAGCCUGAUGCAGCAACGCCGCGUGCGGGAUGACGGCCUUCGGGUUGUAAACCGCUUUCAGCAGGGGCGAAGCUUGUGGUGACGGUACCUGCAGAAGAAGCACCGGCUAACUACGUG
rnacentral:rRNA from 1 species